GAUGAACGCUGGCGGCGUGCCUAACACAUGCAAGUCGAACGAGGUAUUUUGAUUGAAGUUUUCGGAUGGAUUUCAAGAUACCGAGUGGCGGACGGGUGAGUAACGCGUGGGUAACCUGCCUCAUACAGGGGGAUAACGGUUAGAAAUGACUGCUAAUACCGCAUAAGCGCACAGUACCGCAUGGUACGGUGUGAAAAAACUCCGGUGGUAUGAGAUGGACCCGCGUCUGAUUAGCUAGUUGGUGGGGUAACGGCCCACCAAGGCGACGAUCAGUAGCCGACCUGAGAGGGUGACCGGCCACAUUGGGACUGAGACACGGCCCAGACUCCUAC
rnacentral:rRNA from 1 species